rnacentral:rRNA from 1 species
GUGAGGAGUGGCGGACGGGUGAGUAAUGUCUGGGAAACUGCCUGAUGGAGGGGGAUAACUACUGGAAACGGUAGCUAAUACCGCAUAACGUCGCAAGACCAAAGAGGGGGACCUUCGGGCCUCUUGCCAUCAGAUGUGCCCAGAUGGGAUUAGCUAGUAGGUGGGGUAAUGGCUCACCUAGGCGACGAUCCCUAGCUGGUCUGAGAGGAUGACCAGCCACACUGGAACUGAGACACGGUCCAGACUCCUACGGGAGGCAGCAGUGGGGAAUAUUGCACAAUGGGCGCAAGCCUGAUGCAGCCAUGCCGCGUGUAUGAAGAAGGCCUUCGGGUUGUAAAGUACUUUCAGCGAGGAGGAAGGCGUUGAGGUUAAUAACCUCAUCGAUUGACGUUACUCGCAGAAGAAGCACCGGCUAACUCCGUGCCAGCAGCCGCGGUAAUACGGAGGGUGCAAGCGUUAAUCGGAAUUACUGGGCGUAAAGCGCACGCAGGCGGUCUGUCAAGUCGGAUGUGAAAUCCCCGGGCUCAACCUGGGAACUGCAUUCGAAACUGGCAGGCUAUAGUCUUGUAGAGGGGGGUAGAAUUCCAGGUGU